rnacentral:rRNA from 1 species
UACGGGGGGGGCAAGCGUUGUUCGGAAUUACUGGGCGUAAAGGGCUCGUAGGCGGCCAACUAAGUCGGAUGUGAAAUCCCCAAGCUUAACUUGGGAACUGCAUCCGAUACUGGAUGGCUUGAAUCCGGGAGAGGGAUGCAGAAUUCCAGGUGUAGCGGUGAAAUGCGUAGAUAUCUGGAGGAAUACCGGUGGCGAAGGCGGCAUCCUGGACCGGCAUUGACGCUGAGGAGCGAAAGCUAGGGGAGCAAACGGGAU